AUCCAAAUGAAGAGUCCCAAAUAGGACCAAAUGCAUGCCCUGGAU
rnacentral:hammerhead_ribozyme from 1 species